CUUACCCCUCCACCAACCAAUUUUUUAACCAAUGCCUAACCGCAACUUACAAGUUGUGACGAUUUGCUAUGCAGUAGGCAAAAACCAAAUGGCACCAGCCAAUCAGCCAAAUGGACAAAAUUCCUACCAGGCCCCUGCCCCAAAAGCAGACAACCCCAUGACAGGCAUAGCAAGGUCAACAUAAUAGCCCCAAAUUAGGGAGGGUGGGUGAGUGUUCCAAUGCAUGCAGCAAAAGAACAGAGUCAGUGCUGCGUGGCCUGAUUUUAUAACCUUUGGUCCGUCCCAGUAAUUGGCAACAUCAAGAUUUUCCCAGUAACCCAACAGCCCAAUCACUGCAGAUGGUCAUCCAAACUAUCCCGCCCAGCAACAGAGGGGUGGCAUGUCAGACCCCACCGCAACACGUGCUCUCCAUGAAGGAGAACACACUUUGUAAUAUAUAGAAUAAUAAUGAACAUCUCAGGACUCCAGCCCCUUACUCUUGAAAGGCUUUCCAAGAAUAUCCGUACGGUCAAGGUUUAUGCUCUGUUUCCAAAAUAAGGGAUCAUGUGCCUUUGUCUCAACAUUCUAAAACAAAUGUUUAAAUCUAAAUGGAUUCUAUUUGGGCACAGCUGGAGUUUAUAUGGAUCAGCUUACGGAAUCAGGUCCUGCGUUACUUGACACACUGCUACAUUUCAGUCAAUAUUUAGUCGAACCUGAUCCCAAUUUACUACGAGAAAAAAAUAAAUCAGCCAGGAAGUUUAAGGAGAACAUACUUGUGUCUGAAAAUUCAACCCAUGCCUUCGCUCUCAUAGGGUCAAUGCAGGACUUUCCCAUUAUUAUCGUUAUUAGCCUUUGAAUGGUGGAUUUGUAGUGCUUAUGUGGCUUCCUUGGUUUACUGGGCAGUUAAAGCUAGGGGUGAGUCAUUUAACGCACAAUUGAUGCAUUGCCAAAAGGACGUGGGAGGAGAUUUGAUGCUCUCAGGGCUAGCCCAAGACAUUUUGGCACUUGAGGCUACUGCCUGAGGCAGUUGCCUGACCUUGCCUUAUGGGUGAGCUGGCCUUGGAUGUUAUCCAUUCUAUUACAUAUUGUUCUGACGUAUGUUCAUAUAGCUGUGGCCUAUCGGACCAAAUAAGCUGGGGGGAAAGUUACACAACGUCAAUAUGAGGCGUCAGAUCCAGUAUGACAGCAGCCAUGCUCUGGAACGAUUAAGAUCAAGCAGGCACCUUCGCUGAACUGUUUUCUACGCCUGAUGAAAACCUCUUUUGCUCCGGCAAGCCUACCCAGACAUGUAAUUUUAUUAUACUUGUUUUUAAGUUCUGUUGAUUUUAUCUAUGGUCAUGAUCAUUCUGUUAUGUCUACUGGUUUUUUUUAAGAGUUUGCUCACUUUGUUGGUAUGUUUUCGAUAAACAUUUCACACCGUUAACCUCGUAGGGUUUCUAAUUUAUUUAUUUUACUAAGGAGUCUAUACGUUUUGCUAAAUAAAUAAAUCUUCAUAAUAUGCAUGCUCCAGAGGCUUCAGCUCGUGUCGGUCCUACUUUGUCCUUCUCGCCACACAGUGAACAAGGGUACUGCUAGGACCGGCAACAAACAGGACACAGACUCCACUAGAAAUUGGUUCUAAACAGUGUUUUCUGUGUUUGGCAUCCUGUUAAAGUGCUGAGCUGUGAGAGAAGUUGUCAUAUACAGUGGUACCUCAGGUUAAGAACUUAAUUCAUUCUGGAGGUGUCUUCUUAACCUGAAACUGUUCUUAACCUGAAGCACCACUUUAGCUAAUGGGGCCUCCUGCUGCCGCGCCGCUGGAGCACGAUUUCUGUUCUCAUCCUGAAGCAAAGUUCUUAACCCAAGGUAAUAUUUCUGGGUUAGUGGAGUCUUUAACCUAAAGCGUAUGUAACCUGAAGCGUAUGUAACCCGAGGUACCACUGUACUCUUAUGCUAGCUAGUGAUGGGUAAAGGUAAAGGUAAAGGACUUCUGGACAGUUAAGUCCAGUCAAAGGCGACUAUGGGGUUGCGGUGCUCAUCUCGCUUUCAUGCCAAGGGAGCCGGCAUUUGUCCACAGACAGCUUUCCAGGUCAUGGGGCCAGCAUGACUAAACCGCUUCUGGUGCAACUGGACACUGUCACGGAAUCCAGAGUGCAUGGAAAUGCCGUUUACCUUCCCACCACAACAGUACCUAUUUAUCUACUUGCACUGGUGUGCUUUCAAACUGCUAGGUUGGCAGGAGCUGGGACAGAGCAACGGGAGCUCACCCUGUCACGGGGAUUCCAACCGCCGACCUUCUGAUCAGCAAGCCCAAGAGGCUCAGAGGUCUAGACCACAGUGGUACCCUACUGAUGAUGGGUAGGGAUGCAAGAAAGCACCAAUAUCUUUCUUAGAAUCAUAGAAUGGGUUGGAAGGAACCCGAUGAUCAUAUAGUUUAAGCUCCCCACAAUGCAGGAAUCUCAACUUGAGCUUCCAUGACAAUGGCCAUCCAACCUCUACUUUGUUGUAUGCAGAGCCGUUUCCCUUCCACUGCAGCUCACUUUCCGACAAAGACUACAAUAUUUGUCUUGCUGCCCGCAGAGGCGAAAUUUUAACAUAAGUUGAUUACGUUAUCAUUACGUGAUUCCAUACCAUUCAUUUCAUUGCAAAGGAAACAAGAUGCAGAUAGGGAGGGGAGCCAUCAUUUAUGUAUCGUUGGUGGACUGGAAACAACAGGGAAUAACUACAGCAGGAGUCUAGGCUCAGCUAAUACUUAUUUUAUUUGAUGCUUCACCUUUGUAUCCCACCUUUCGUCCAAGGAGCUCAAGAUGGUUUACAUGAUUCUCCCCAUUUUUACUUCUUCACGACUACCCUGUGAUGUAGGUUAGCCUGAGAACAAGGGACUGGCCCAAGAUCACCCAGUGAGCUUUACAGAUGAGUGGGGAUUGAUCUCUAGCCUCCAACAACAGGACUGUACAAGGGUCCCUGAUUAUAAAAUCAUAGAAAACAGCAGCAUAUCUCUAUUUCCUCACAUCCAGAAAUGCAAGAAGGGCUUUUACUCUUGCUAGAAGCUCAGCCUUGCCGUCACCAGUUCUGGAAGGCUCCUAUAGAAAGGUCCCAUACGCACAGAGACUUUGCGCCUGCCCAUUAGGGGAAAUAGGAAGCCUUGAACAUAUAUUUUUUAGAUGUCCUUAUUAUGUUGAGAUUCGUAGGGACACCAUUGAUCCUUUGCUGAAGAGGCUCGCCAAUCUUUCCGACAAGUCUAAACUUAAUUCUUUCCGCUUAGGCAACGAUCAUAAGAUGACCUGCGCCCAGAUUUGUAGGCACAGAUCAUCCUCUAGAAUAAAAUAGCUUACUAGGGAAAUGCUGAAGUUGCCCUUUGGGGCACCUCAGGGUCAAUUUUUUAUGGUAGCCCAAAUCUCAGUUGUACGGGUUUUGGUAUAUUUCUCAAUUUUAACUCAUGAGCUAUUGCUGCAAUCUGCUCCGAUUGUAUAUUUUAUCUUUAUGAACGCUGUUUUUAUUGUGUUAUGUUAUGUGAGCUGGUCUUUGACCGUAAUAAAUUAUCUGUCUAUCUAAAUCAUCUAUCUCUAGCCUCCAAGGUCCUAAUCCAACACUCAAGCCCCAUUGGGCUUAAGAUGGGGGUCAGCCCUUGAUUUUGCUACCCAACCUCCUUCAAUUUCCAGCCUCGCCACCAUUCCUAUCUUCACCAAGAAAUAGUAUGAUAGAAGAUGCACUUAAGGAUGGGGGUGGCUGGUGCUGUCUUAAAGUUCUUUAAGCUUUGGUAAUGUUUGCUUCAUGCUAUGCUCCUUCACUGCAGGACAAACGAAAAUGGAAAGCCCCGUUUCAGUUCUAGAUAAAUUAUGUAAAAUGUUUGCACUUUGGCAAGGAAUGUGCAGGCACCUCUUCACAUCAUGCUUCGCUGUGUUGGGCUAUCAGGAGCUGGCAAGCACAGCCUCUGCUCCUCAGCUAUGUAGGAAUGCAAGAUUGUCAGAUUUCAAUCAAGAGCGAAAGCCAGCCAGGACCUUCAGCUAAAGUAAACCUUGAGCACUUAAUAUUUAAUACAAAAACAUCCUGUUCUCUUAGACUGAUUCACCUUCAACAAAGUACAACUUUGUCUUCGGAACAAGGAGAUUACAAGAAAGAGGGCUUAAACUUUAAUGGACUAUAUAAAACAGUAAAUGAUUAAGUUCCAGGUGGUGAGCGUGUUCUAACUGAUAGCAUGUGAGAAUCUCACCCUGGCCAUUGGAUUGACACUGAUUGACGUCACGUGUCACAUUUGCAUGCUUUCAAGCUGACAGUGCUUUCCAGAACUGGAACAGAACCAAGGAAGAUGCCAUCCUACGUAUGCAGGGACUGGAUGGGCCAAACCAUGUAGAAGCCAUUUUGUCAAGCAAGCUGUGUAUUUAUUGUUGUUGUGUUGUUUUGAAAAAUCAGCAGGCUACUUACUGCUGCAGUCCCACCUAGGGGUAAGUCCCGCUGAACUCAGAGGGGCUUUCUUCUAAGUAGAUGUUUAUGGGACAUAGGGGAAAGCUUCAGAGAAAACUUGCAGUGAGUCUUGGCCCAAUACAUCUUGAAAAUUACCUUAGCUCUGAGCUAUUUAGCGGUAAAAUGUCCAGUGAGCCAGCUUCUGAGCAGAUGUCUAGAUUUGAAUCACCAAACCUAAAUCUACUUUUCAGCAUUGAACAUGGCAGUUAGGAAGCACCUUAAAAAAUUUUAUUUGCUGCAGACAUACACUUAGAAAUGUGAUUUAAACAAAUAUGCAUUUUUGAGUGUAGCUACCUUUGACAAUUUGUUGGGUGGGGCUUCAUUUUGUCCCCACCCACCCUAAAGAUCAGAGGAGUGGAUGUUUGGA